UCGAGCGGAUGACGGGAGCUUGCUCCUUGAUUCAGCGGCGGACGGGUGAGUAAUGCCUAGGAAUCUGCCUGGUAGUGGGGGACAACGUUCCGAAAGGGGCGCUAAUACCGCAUACGUCCUACGGGAGAAAGUGGGGGAUCUUCGGACCUCACGCUAUCAGAUGAGCCUAGGUCGGAUUAGCUAGUUGGUGAGGUAAAGGCUCACCAAGGCGACGAUCCGUAACUGGUCUGAGAGGAUGAUCAGUCACACUGGAACUGAGACACGGUCCAGACUCCUACGGGAGGCAGCAGUGGGGAAUAUUGGACAAUGGGCGAAAGCCUGAUCCAGCCAUGCCGCGUGUGUGAAGAAGGUCUUCGGAUUGUAAAGCACUUUAAGUUGGGAGGAAGGGCAGUAAGUUAAUACCUUGCUGUUUUGACGUUACCGACAGAAUAAGCACCGGCUAACUCUGUGCCAGCAGCCGCGGUAAUACAGAGGGUGCAAGCGUUAAUCGGAAUUACUGGGCGUAAAGCGCGCGUAGGUGGUUCGUUAAGUUGGAUGUGAAAGCCCCGGGCUCAACCUGGGAACUGCAUCCAAAACUGGCGAGCUAGAGUAUGGUAGAGGGUGGUGGAAUUUCCUGUGUAGCGGUGAAAUGCGUAGAUAUAGGAAGGAACACCAGUGGCGAAGGCGACCACCUGGACUGAUACUGACACUGAGGUGCGAAAGCGUGGGGAGCAAACAGGAUUAGAUACCCUGGUAGUCCACGCCGUAAACGAUGUCAACUAGCCGUUGGAAUCCUUGAGAUUUUAGUGGCGCAGCUAACGCAUUAAGUUGACCGCCUGGGGAGUACGGCCGCAAGGUUAAAACUCAAAUGAAUUGACGGGGGCCCGCACAAGCGGUGGAACAUGUGGUUUAAUUCGAAGCAACGCGAAGAACCUUACCAGGCCUUGACAUGCAAAGAACUUUCCAAAAAUGGAUUGGUGCCUUCGGGAACUCUGACCAAGGUGCUGCAUGGCUGUCCUCAGCUCGGUCCUGGAAAU
rnacentral:rRNA from 1 species